UUUCCAUCACACACUCAUUCUCGUUUCCCCCUCAUGGAAGGCUUUUAAAUGUGGAAGCGUCGGCAAGAUCGAGAUGGAGGUUAACUAUCCACUGCGAUCUCUGUUUGUUGUGUUGGUCAGUGCUGAUAGUCGCUGAUGUUUUUGUAACCGAACAACGAGUGAACGGUGGUUAGGGUUGAACAUUCGGACGAAAUAAAGGGUGUCUUGUGUGCAAGAAGAAGAUGGCAACUCCUCUCUCAAAACACUUUCUGGAUCUUGUCCUGCCCCAUUUAGAAAUCUUUUGGAAUAUGUUGUUAAUUUGAAGUUUGAUAAAGAGCCUUCUUAUGCAAAACUUUCGUUUGAUCAUCUGAAAGUAGUUAUUUUUCCUAAUUACAUGUCAAAUUGUGUGUUAAUUUGUUGGCCUGUUAUAUGGUAUUUGUAGGUUUAUGAAAAGAGCUCACAUCAUAGUACUUUGGUUGUUUGUUUGAAGUUGUGAAAAUGAAGCUCUCUAACGAAGGUUGAUGGAUAAGCCAAAUAGUACAGAAUAGAAGUCUUCCUCCAUGGAAAUGCAGUAUAUAUAUAUUAUAAACUUGGAGGAUGAUGGUGGGGACAUGGUGCUACUCCUACACUAACUAUUUUUUUUCUCAUAGUGUUAUGGUGAGUUAUGAAAAAAUAGAACACUCAAUUCCAUUGUUCUCAAUAGGGUGUGAAUAUGUGAUAACGUAUUCAAUUGUAAAAAUUAAGAAAGUUGGCCACUUCAACGGAGUAAAAAAUGAUAUGCUUUGAUUUCGUGUUGGUUUUUGAUAGUUUGUCUAUGAAUAUGGCUGAUAGGUUAGAGACGGCGGCUUCCGGUAUGGCAUGGCCCGGUUCUGUGUUGCUAUACAACUGGAAUUUGAUUUUCAUAGGGCCAUCUACAACCUCAACACAUUUUUGGUUAGUUGAAUGAACUUUUUCUCUUCUACGAUUCCGGUUGCAAGUAUGGAUUAAAGACAUUGGUUUGGGUUGAAAGUAUGAAGACGUCUGUCGGUUCGGUUCAGGAAGUUAUUGUAUAUCACUUUCAUCUUUAGAGUUAUAUGUAUUAUUGUGUUAUUGGAAAACUUUUGUAAUAUUGUGUUACUUUGAAACCUUUGUAUUUUGUAAUCUUGGGUCAUAUUAUAUUGGUUCUAAUUUAAUUUUGUUCUUUUU